AUUGAACGCUGGCGGCAGGCCUAACACAUGCAAGUCGAGCGGAUGAGAGGAGCUUGCUCCUCGAUUCAGCGGCGGACGGGUGAGUAAUGCCUAGGAAUCUGCCUAGUAGUGGGGGACAACGUUUCGAAAGGAACGCUAAUACCGCAUACGUCCUACGGGAGAAAGUGGGGGAUCUUCGGACCUCACGCUAUUAGAUGAGCCUAGGUCGGAUUAGCUAGUUGGUGGGGUAAAGGCCUACCAAGGCGACGAUCCGUAACUGGUCUGAGAGGAUGAUCAGUCACACUGGAACUGAGACACGGUCCAGACUCCUACGGGAGGCAGCAGUGGGGAAUAUUAGACAAUGGGCGAAAGCCUGAUCCAGCCAUGCCGCGUGUGUGAAGAAGGCCUUCGGGUCGUAAAGCACUUUAAGUUGGGAGGAAGGGCUCAUAGCGAAUACCUGUGAGUUUUGACGUUACCAACAGAAUAAGCACCGGCUAACUUCGUGCCAGCCGCCGCCGUAA
rnacentral:rRNA from 1 species